rnacentral:rRNA from 1 species
GCGUGCGCAGGCGGCUGAUAAGUCGGAUGUGAAAUCCCUGAGCUUAACUUAGGAAUUGCAUUCGAUACUGGUCAGCUAGAGUAUGGGAGAGGAUGGUAGAAUUCCAUGUGUAGCGGUGAAAUGCGUAGAGAUCUGGAGGAAUACCGAUGGCGAAGGCAGCCAUCUGGCCUAAUACUGACGCUGAGGUACGAAAGCAUGGGGAGCAAACAGGAUUAGAUACCCUGGUAGUCCAUGCCGUAAACGAUGUCUACUAGCCGUUGGGGCCUUUGAGGCUUUAGUGGCGCAGCUAACGCGAUAAGUAGACCGCCUGGGGAGUACGGUCGCAAGACUAAAACUCAAAUGAAUUGACGGGGGCCCGCACAAGCGGUGGAGCAUGUGGUUUAAUUCGAUGCAACGCGAAGAACCUUACCUGGCCUUGACAUAGUAGAAACUUUCCAGAGAUGGAUUGGUGCCUUCGGGAAUCUACAUACAGGUGCUGCAUGGCUGUCGUCAGCUCGUGUCGUGAGAUGUUGGGUUAAGUCCCGCAACGAGCGCAACCCUUUUCCUUACUUGCCAGCAUUUCGGAUGGGAACUUUAAGGAUACUGCCAGUGACAAACUGGAGGAAGGCGGGGACUACGUCAAGUCAUCAUGGCCCUUACGGCCAGGGCUACACACGUGCUACAAUGGUCGGUACAAAGGGUUGCUACCUAGCGAUAGGAUGCUAA